CACAAGCAUGUCAAGUAAUGUCGAAAAUGUCCAGCUGUAUCGUUUUGAGCUCAGACGAGGAAAGUGAGGAGCUCCGUGGAUCGAAACGUCUACACAUCAGAAUGUUUCUUACAGGAGCCUUGGUGCUGUUGGCAUAAGGCAGCGGCAUUGACAGCCUCUCACAGUCGGCACCACUGGACCCCACCCUGGUGAAGGAGUAGGAGCCUUGGAUGUACGGGUUACUGCCCCAUGACGAACGCAGGACGUGCCGGGGCUUUGGAAUGUCAGGGUUCCCUGCAGACAAAUGAAAGAAGGGAGUCAUCAGUGACAAAAAAA